rnacentral:sRNA from 1 species
GCUGGGUGUGGUGGCGCAGGCCUGUAAUCCCAGCAACUCAGGAGACUGAGGCAGGAGGUCCACAAAUUGGAGGCCAGCCUCUGCUAUUUAGUGGGGGUCCCAAGCAACUUAGUGAGAUCCGGUCUCAA